CACCGCGGUUAUACGAUGCGCCCAAGUUGACAGCUUUCGGCAUAAAGCGUGGUUAGUUAACACCGAGACUAAAGUCGAACCCAUUCAAAUCUGUUGUACGAUUACGAAAUGGAGAAGCCCAACAACGAAAGUGACUUUAAGAUAAAUGAAGCCACGAAAGCUAAGAAA
rnacentral:rRNA from 1 species